rnacentral:tRNA from 1 species
GAGAGAGGCCCGUAGCAACAAGAACUGCUAAUUCUUACCCCCUAGGCUAAACUCCUAGGCUCCCUCG